GAAUGUGAGGGUGACCUGGCUGUGACCCUGCCACACCAUCGAUUGCCAGGGCCCAUUACACUGAUGUGGUGGCCCCGGUGUCUUCUUUCUCUCUCACCCUGUAUGCGUCAGGCGUUAGGCUGCUGGCUCAGACAACAGGAAUGACCUUCCUCGAUAAAGGAGGACUCAACCUCAGUAGGCCCUGGCUGUGCAAGCACUGCUCGGCGAGUCCUCAAGAUGGGGCGAUUUCUGCGACCCUGGAAUGCCUCCCAGAAUGUUGAGAUGGACGCCGUGGGAAACGGCUGGCUGGUCUC
rnacentral:sRNA from 1 species